GAUGAACGCUGGCGGCGUGCCUAAUACAUGCAAGUCGAGCGAAUGGAUUAAGAGCUUGCUCUUAUGAAGUUAGCGGCGGACGGGUGAGUAACACGUGGGUAACCUGCCCAUAAGACUGGGAUAACUCCGGGAAACCGGGGCUAAUACCGGAUAAUAUUUUGAACUGCAUGGUUCAAAAUUGAAAGGCGGCUUCGGCUGUCACUUAUGGAUGGACCCGCGUCGCAUUAGCUAGUUGGUGAGGUAACGGCUCACCAAGGCAACGAUGCGUAGCCGACCGGAGAGGGUGAUCGGCCACGCUGGGACUUAGACACGGCCCAGACUCCUACGGGAGGCAGCAGUAGGGAAUCUUCCGCAAUGGACGAAAGUCUGACGGAGCAACGCCGCGUGAGUGAUGAAGGCUUUCGGGUCGUAAAACUCUGUUGUUAGGGAAGAACAAGUGCUAGUUGAAUAAGCUGGCACCUUGACGGUACCUAACCAGAAAGCCACGGCUAACUACGUGCCAGCCGCCGCAGUAA
rnacentral:rRNA from 1 species